GCUUUAGAGAAUACAGGCCUAACCAGAAUGAUGCUUCCCAACUGUGUGCCGGGUAACACUUUAGGAGGUACCACAGCAGCACUUCUUGAUAGUGUGUUUAUUCUCACUUGUAUUAAAAUAUAAUUAACCCAUUAAAUCCAUGAUUUUAUAAAUUUUUGGCUGAGGUUUCAAUUAAAUGAGGUUGCACUUUACACAUACGGAAUGAAUUGCUUUUCUGUGGUACAUUGACUUUGAUGAUACACAGUUAUUGCAAGAAUCAUAAAAGUGGUUCCAGGAUGUCUGAAGUUGGGAAAUGACAACCUUUUGGGUAACUGGCCAGUAUAAACUGAGGCUGUCGCUCAUGCAGUCUUCGCCUCUGAGAACCUGUGUUAUUUUUUUCCUCCUGUAAACUUCAUAUUUUGAAAGCUUUUUUUCCAUCGUACACAAAUGAACUCAUUAUGUAAUCAUUUAUUUUUCUGUUGAAAGAUAUCUAUACCUGCUGAUGAGCAUAAAGUAGUUGGCGUCACUGGCUGAACUGGUGUAACUCCAGCAAACCUCCAACAACUAACUCCAAACAAAAGCAUAAUCUGUCCUUAGUUGCUAACAGUUGUCAGCAAGUAUUGGAAGCCACUUAAAGGUUCCCCAGGAAUGGAGAAUUUAUUUUAAAUAGAGAGGGACCUUGCAUGGAACCCAAGGGCCAAUAUCAGGAACAGCUGGAUCCAGGAAUUGGGAGGUGACCAGCUCCCCAGAAAGAAUUUUCUCUUGUUCUCUUAUCCCUGGUUCUUUCGCAGAUCUUUAUUCUCUCAACAGAUUACCUUUUCCUGCCAUCCUGUCCUGAUAAGAGACAAAAGCAUGGCUAUCCACAGUCCCCAAGUUCUGUUUGAGCAGCUCUCUUAGCUCUGAUUCCCUGUCUCUGGGGAAGAGACUCUGAUUGACCCUGCUUGGGUCAGAUGUCCUUUCUGAUGUCCUUUCUGGUACAUUGCAGUUGUUCAAUACAACCAUGAUUGAAGAGCAAAUUAUUUAAACUUAUGAUUACAUAAAUUAUUUUUAAACAUAAUAAUGCCUCAAAAACCAUCACUUUAUUGCAUUUUAUUAUUUAUGCUCUUGAGGUUACUUACGAUUGUUUUAUGGUAGAACUACUACAUAAUGAUGUUAUGAUGUGCAUUACCCUCAUCAGAGACAGCAUGUUGGAAGCUUGAAAUCAGCCAUGGUGGGAAUAUUUACACCAAGGAAAUGGGCAAGUGCUACAAAUCAGGGUGUUGUCCUAAUUGUUGUUGCCUGGAGAGCUCAUUUUAAAAUAUUUAUCAGUACAUGACUGAAUCCAGUCUGCUCCAGAUGGCUCUUAGUCCUGGGUCCCUUUCUCUGUCAAAAGAAUGGUGACAACAUCCCACCUCCUGGAUGGGUCAGGGGAAUAGGACCAUUAAGAGAAUCUCUGUAAACUAGUCUUCACCCACCCAAAUCUAAAGGCUUUCCUUUUGUACAUAAUCAAUAUCCUGAUUCUUACUUUAUGCUACAAAAUGACAGGCGAAAGUUUGGACACCGUUUCUAGAUGAGUUCCCGUCGUGGCGCAGUGGUUAACGAAUCCGACUAGCAACCAUGAGGUUGCGGGUUCGGUCCCUGCCCUUGCUCAGUGGGUUAACGAUCCGGCGUUGCCGUGAGCUGUGGUGUAGGUUGCAGACACGGCUCGGAUCCCGCGUUGCUGUGGCUCUGGCGUAGGCCGGUGGUUACCGAUUCAACCCCUGGCCUGGGAACCUCCAUAUGCCGCGGGAGCGGCCCAAGAAAUAGCAACAACAACAACAAC
rnacentral:lncRNA from 1 species